rnacentral:rRNA from 1 species
GAGUUUGAUCCUGGCUCAGAACGAACGCUGGCGGCAGGCUUAACACAUGCAAGUCGAACGCCCCGCAAGGGGAGUGGCAGACGGGUGAGUAACGCGUGGGAACGUACCUUUCGCUUCGGAAUAGUCCCGGGAAACUGGGUUUAAUACCGAAUACGCCGUAUUGGGAAAGAUUUAUCGGCGAAAGAUCGGCCCGCGUUAGAUUAGCUAGUUGGCGGUGUAAUGGACCACCAAGGCUACGAUCUAUAGCUGGUCUGAGAGGAUGAUCAGCCACACUGGGACUGAGACACGGCCCAGACUCCUACGGGAGGCAGCAGUGGGGAAUCUUGGACAAUGGGCGCAAGCCUGAUCCAGCCAUGCCGCGUGAGUGAAGAAGGCCUUAGGGUUGUAAAACUCUUUCGCCGGUGAAGAUAAUGACGGUAACCGGAGAAGAAGCCCCGGCUAACUUCGUGCCAGCAGCCGCGGUAAUACGAAGGGGGCUAGCGUUGUUCGGAAUUACUGGGCGUAAAGCGCACGUAGGCGGGUUUGUAAGUAGGGGGUGAAAUCCCAGGGCUCAACCCUGGAACUGCCUUCUAGACUGCAAGCCUGGAGGUCAGGAGAGGCGAGUGGAAUACCGAGUGUAGAGGUGAAAUUCGUAGAUAUUCGGUGGAACACCAGUGGCGAAGGCGACUCGCUGGACUGAUACUGACGCUGAGGUGCGAAAGCGUGGGGCAGCAAACAGGAUUAGAUACCCUGGUAGUCCACGCCUUAAACGAUGAGAGCUAGUUGUCAGUAAGCAUGCUUAUUGGUGACGCAGCUAACGCAUUAAGCUCUCCGCCUGGGGAGUACGGCCGCAAG